rnacentral:rRNA from 1 species
AGAGUUUGAUCCUGGCUCAGGAUGAACGCUGGCGGCCGUGCUUAACACAUGCAAGUCGAACGGGAAACCUUUUAUUGAAGCUUCGGCAGAUUUAGAUUGUUUCUAGUGGCGGACGGGUGAGUAACGCGUGGGUAACCUGCCUUAUACAGGGGGAUAACAGUCAGAAAUGACUGCUAAUACCGCAUAAGCGCACAGAGCUGCAUGGCUCGGUGUGAAAAACUCCGGUGGUAUAAGAUGGACCCGCGUUGGAUUAGCUAGUUGGUGAGGUAACGGCCCACCAAGGCGACGAUCCAUAGCCGGCCUGAGAGGGUGAACGGCCACAUUGGGACUGAGACACGGCCCAGACUCCUACGGGAGGCAGCAGUGGGGGAUAUUGCACAAUGGGGGAAACCCUGAUGCAGCGACGCCGCGUGGAGGAAGAAGGUUUUCGGAUUGUAAACUCCUGUCGUUAGGGACGAUAAUGACGGUACCUAACAAGAAAGCACCGGCUAACUACGUGCCAGCAGCCGCGGUAAAACGUAGGGUGCAAGCGUUGUCCGGAAUUACUGGGUGUAAAGGGAGCGCAGGCGGGAAGACAAGUUGGAAGUGAAAACCAUGGGCUCAACCCAUGAAUUGCUUUCAAAACUGUUUUUCUUGAGUAGUGCAGAGGUAGAUGGAAUUCCCGGUGUAGCGGUGGAAUGCGUAGAUAUCGGGGGGAACACCAGUGGCGAAGGCGGUCUACUGGGCACCAACUGACGCUGAGGCUCGAAAGCAUGGGUAGCAAACAGGAUUAGAUACCCUGGUAGUCCAUGCCGUAAACGAUGA